AUUGAACGCUGGCGGAAUGCUUUACACAUGCAAGUCGAACGGCAGCACGGACUUCGGUCUGGUGGCGGGUGGCGAACGGGUGAGUAAUGUAUCGGAACGUGCCCAGUCGUGGGGGAUAACGUAGUGAAAAUUACGCUAAUACCGCAUACGAUCUAUGGCUGAAAGCGGGGGAUCGCAAGACCUCGCGCGAUUGGAGCGGCCGAUAUCAGAUUAGGUAGUUGGUGGGGUAAAGGCCCACCAAGCCAACGAUCUGUAGCUGGUCAGAGAGGACGACCAGCCACACUGGAACUGAGACACGGUCCAGACUCCUACGGGAGGCAGCAGUGGGGAAUUUUGGACAAUGGGCGAAAGCCUGAUCCAGCCAUUCCGCGCGCAGGAUGAAGGCCCUCGGGUUGUAAACUGCUUUUGUACAGAACGAAAAGGUUUCUACUAAUACUAGGAGCUCAUGACGGUACUGUAAGAAUAAGCACCGGCUAACUACGUGCCAGCCGCCGCGGUAA
rnacentral:rRNA from 1 species